ACAUAAUUGGAGUUCCACUCCUACGGCUGCUAUCAUUUCUUGACUGCAUACGAUGAGGCAUUCUUAAACUACCACUGCUGUUCAAUGAAGAAGCCAUUGAAUUUGAAGGCAACGAAGGGAGUUUUUGGCCACCAUGAGAGAGACACGAUGCAAUGGAAGAGUAGUAACAAUGUCAACAGGUGAAAUGCUUGGUGAACCAAAUGUGGGGUGUUUUCUAACAGACCCUUUUAUUAGUACCAACUCUAAUUAUAGGGAACCAUAUAUUUUGUUUCUCCUUUUGACUUCAACCUCUUUUAUCAUUGAUAAUGAUCAAAGAUCUAACCUCUUCUUCAAAAUUAUUUUUAUGUUGUUUCGAUUUUAUUUCUUAAUUUUGACUGUAUAUUCAUCGAUGUAUAAUUAAUUAAUUACGUUACUACACAUUAUUACUA